GCGGAAGUAGUUCAGUGGUAGAAUACAACCUUGCCAAGGUUGGGGUCGCGGGUUCGAAUCCCGUCUUCCGCUCC
rnacentral:tRNA from 1 species